rnacentral:rRNA from 1 species
UACGAAGGGGGCUAGCGUUGUUCGGAAUUACUGGGCGGAAAGCGCACGUAGGCGGACUAUUAAGUCAGGGGUGAAAUCCCGGGGCUCAACCCCGGAACUGCCUUUGAUACUGGUAGUCUCGAGUCCGGAAGAGGUGAGUGGAAUUCCGAGUGUAGAGGUGAAAUUCGUAGAUAUUCGGAGGAACACCAGUGGCGAAGGCGGCUCACUGGUCCGGUACUGACGCUGAGGUGCGAAAGCGUGGGGAGCAAACAGG